UGUUUAUAGAUAUUUCCUCCG
rnacentral:piRNA from 1 species